rnacentral:rRNA from 1 species
GGCUGCUCCUAGUACGAGAGGACCGGAGUGGACGCAUCACUGGUGUUCGGGUUGUCAUGCCAAUGGCACUGCCCGGUAGCUAAAUGCGGAAGAGAUAAGUGCUGAAAGCAUCUAAGCACGAAACUUGCCCCGAGAUGAGUUCUCCCUGAGACUUAGAGUCUCCUGAAGGAACGUUGAAGACGACGACGUUGAUAGGCCGGGUGUGUAAGCGCAGCGAUGCGUUGAGCUAACCGGUACUAAUGAACCGUGAGGCUUAACCUU